GACCCAGUGGUGAAGUGGUUUCGUAUCCACUCAAUUUUCAAUUGAAAUAUUGGGCUUUCUGUGGAAGACACCCGUUCGAUUCGGGUCUGGGUCC